rnacentral:rRNA from 1 species
GCUAAAAAUCUAGCCCCCCCCCCCCAUUAAAUGUAAAUUAAAAUCUUAAUACAUUAAUUAAAACAUUUUAACAUUUUAGUAAAGGCGAUCGAAAAAUCCCAUUAGAGCAAUAUAAAUAGUACCGCAAGGGAAAGAUGAAAUAAAAAUGAAACAAAUCUUAAGCACAAAAAAGUAGAGAUGGCCCCUCGUACCUUUUGCAUCAUGGUUUAACUAGUCCAACGAAGCAAAACGACUUUUAGUUUAACCUCCCGAAACCAGGCGAGCUACUUCAAGGCAGCUUACUGAGCAAACCCGUCCCUGUUGCAAAAGGGUGGGAAGACCUUCAAGUAGGGGUGAUAGACCUAACGAGCUUGGUGAUAGCUGGUUACUCAAGAAAAGGAUUUUAGUCCAACUUAAAGUUUUAUUAAUAUAAGAAAAAUAUCAUACUCACUUUAAAGCAAUUCAAGUAAGGUACAGCCUAUUUGAAAAAGGAUACAACCUAUAAAGACGGGUAAUCUUUUCAAGCAUAACUAAGUAGGCCCAAAAGCAGCCACCUUUAAAAUAGCGUCAAAGCUUUAUUACAAAUCAAUUGAAUCUCUUACAUAACCUAGAACCCUCCUAAACUACUGAGUACUUCUAUACAAUUAUAGAAAAUUUUAUGUUAAAACUAGUAACAAGAAAAUGAAUUUCACUUUAAUGCAAGUGUAAAUCAGAAGGACACUCCACUGAUAAUUAACGCUUCUGCAAUAAACUAAUAACCUCACAAGAAAAACUUAGUAUAUUUUGCGUUAACCUAACACAAGAGCAUUUCAAGUAAGAUUAAAAGAAAAAGAAGGAACUCGGCAAAUUUUAACCUCGCCUGUUUACCAAAAACAUCGCCUCUUGGAUAAUUAUAAGAGGUCCAGCCUGCCCAGUGACCCUGUUCAACGGCCGCGGUAUCCUAACCGUGCGAAGGUAGCGUAAUCACUUGUUCUUUAAAUAAGGACUAGUAUGAACGGCAUCACGAAGGUUAUACUGUCUCCUUUUUCUAAUCAGUGAAACUAAUCCCCCCGUGAAGAAGCGGGGAUAGAAAUAUAAGACGAGAAGACCCUAUGGAGCUUUAAACUAAAUAACAUGUGCCUUUAUCUUUAAAUACUCCAGAGUGUAUAAAACUUAUUAUGGCCUUAUGAUUAUUAGUUUUAGGUUGGGGUGACCGCGGAGUAAAAAAUAACCUCCAUGUUGAAAGGAUGAAUUUCCUGAGUCAUGAGCUACAGCUCUAAACACCAAUAAACUGACAUUAAUUGACCCAAAUUUUUGAUCAACGAACCAAGUUACCCUAGGGAUAACAGCGCAAUCUAUCUUAAGAGCCCAUAUCGACAGAUAGGUUUACGACCUCGAUGUUGGAUCAGGGUGUCCCAGUGGUGCAGCCGCUACUAAAGGUUCGUUUGUUCAACGAUUAAAACCCU